CCGCAAGCUACACCACAGUUCACAGCAACACUGGAUCCUUAACCCACUGAGUGAGGCCACGGAUUGAACCACAUCCUCAUGGAUCCUAGUUGGGUUCAUUAUUGCUGAGCCACGACAUGGGAACUCCGUGGACAAAGAACAAGCAAAUGGAGGCUUACUGCUGUCUUUUACAAUUCCCUGAACGUGCCUUGAGAUUUCUUAUUCCUGCACCACUGCCAGGUAGGGUUCCCUAUCUUCUGGCUUGGACAAACUGUUUCUGGAUGCUGGGGAAAAGCUUGGCUACACAUCUCACUCAGAAUGUCUCCCUUAAGAGUCAUCAUUUCUGGAAGUGCUUCCAGAUAUUUUCUUGUGAGGAUGUCAACUUUAAUUUGCAACAUCUAAUUCAGUGUCAGCAAAGUAGCAAGUCUGUACAGAGAAAGAAGGAGUCCAAAGAAACAAAGUUGAGGUAUUUCAAGAAGGAAUAGUGAAGCAACUGGGACAGAGUCCUACGAUUCACCUGCCAGAGGAGGCAAAGAGCUUUGCGGCUGAAAUACAUCAUCUGACAAAGUCAAGUUCUAAUUAUAUUUAUGCAAGGUUAAAUUUGAAGUGAAAAAGUAAGUGCUGAUUUAGUGAUGCCAUUUACUAGACUGUUGACCUUCUCUUAUUGAUCUGUCAACAGUAAAAUGGAAUUAAUGUGGCUACCUUGUAAUGGAAUGGACAUUUUCCCCAUGCGUUUGAAGUUAAGAUAAGCUCUUACUUGAAUCUCUUCAAGUAAGAUAUGCUCUUACUUGAAUUAAAAUCACGUGUGAUUUUAAUCUCUUCCUUCUCCUUUGCUAUGACUCAGAAAUUCAUAGGUGCUUCAUCUGGAGAGAUUUUUUGGCCUACCUUUCCCCUCUAACUAUGUUGUGUGCUAAUGCCAUGAGUUUUCCUGGUACGCUCUACUUCCCCAUCAGAACAUUGAAUUAGCUUCAUUAUUGUUGUUUAAUUUAUUAUCACCUCAGAUAAGUUUCACUGAGGGCAAGGAAACUGCUUCAAUCUCCUACCAUCCUACAGCCAUACUCACCACUGCUUCUUCAGAACACAGCCCUUGUAAAUGUUUCAAUAAUUAUUGUUGAAUGAUGGGAUUACUCCAAAUAUCUAUUAAGCCACACUGGCCCUUCUCUUCAACAGUAUGGGAAACACAAAC
rnacentral:lncRNA from 9 species